GAUGAACGCUGGCGGCGUGCCUAAUACAUGCAAGUCGAGCGAACAGACGAGGAGCUUGCUCCUCUGACGUUAGCGGCGGACGGGUGAGUAACACGUGGAUAACCUACCUAUAAGACUGGGAUAACUUCGGGAAACCGGAGCUAAUACCGGAUAAUAUAUUGAACCGCAUGGUUCAAUAGUGAAAGACGGUUUUGCUGUCACUUAUAGAUGGAUCCGCGCCGCAUUAGCUAGUUGGUAAGGUAACGGCUUACCAAGGCAACGAUGCGUAGCCGACCUGAGAGGGUGAUCGGCCACACUGGAACUGAGACACGGUCCAGACUCCUACGGGAGGCAGCAGUAGGGAAUCUUCCGCAAUGGGCGAAAGCCUGACGGAGCAACGCCGCGUGAGUGAUGAAGGUCUUCGGAUCGUAAAACUCUGUUAUUAGGGAAGAACAAAUGUGUAAGUAACUAUGCAUGUCUUGAUGGUACCUAAUCAGAAAGCCACGGCUAACUACGUG
rnacentral:rRNA from 1 species